AGCUUUGUGCAGUGGCAGUAUCAUAGCCAAUGAGGUUUAUCCGAGGCGCGAUUAUUGCUAAUUAAAAUUUUUUCAUACUCUUUCCCACAUUAUGCUUAUUUUUUACUAGUAACAAAAAGAAGGUGCCCAAGAAAAUGG